AUCAUUUUGACUGAAAUGUGUAUUUGAAAUGUUGGGUCUAUUUGAAGGGACGUGUUGUCUCCGCCUCCAACCGAGUCUCCCCCGAUUCGAUUCAGUGCCCGCUUUGCCACAGAUGAAGUACUCGACAAGCAUACCAUACCGUCGUGUCGUAGAAGGUAUCAACUGGAUCCGGCAGAAUUGAUAUUUGAAUCGGGUCAUUUGGCAAUGUUCACCUUUUUUUGGUUUUUCUGUCUCUGAAUCGUACUCUAGUGUCAAAAGACGAUGAGAUUAUCUACUUUAAGACAUACAUACAUGUAUAUAGAUAGGAUUAAUUCUUGGAAACUUCUGACAUUUGGUACAUUGUUGAAACGCUCGAGGGCAGACAAGACAAGCAUCGUGUUCUCUUGUUUGCGCAAAUGGCGAAAAUGCUGAAUAUUCUUGAGGUAAUUAGUCACUACAAAGUAAAUUCAAGAAUGGUGUGUGUGAGAUCAUGUCAGUCAGCAGCAUAAGGUGGUGAUGCCUUGUUUAUGUGCGGAUGUUAAGGAAAUCAAAUGCUUAUUUAGGGGUCAUAUUUUACCAAAGUGAUUGGAACCCAACACUGAGACUACAAGCAAUGAAUCGAUCAUAGAGCCAUCGGUUGGGUCGCGCAAAAGCUCUAAGUUUUGUUUGCCAAAUCCAUUCCAACCCUAGACUUCCUGGUUUCUUUAGAGCCAUUUGUUUGUGUGCUUCUUUGGAGACCCCAUGCUUGUAUGGUAUCUCUCUUGUUCCCUCUAGUCAUUUAAACAAACAGUUGAAGAGAAGAUUCUGCAAAGAGCUAGUCAGAAAAAUGCUGCCUCUAUUCAGGUUAAGGGUAGACAAAAGAAGAAACAAACAAAGGGUAUACGGGUCGAUACAGAAGGCAAUGCCUCAUUAAAUGAUCUAACAAACCCUGCAUCUGCACCUCAAGGUACUGGACAUGAAGGAUUCUUUAGCUGCAACUGGCGCAAAAACUCAAAGGUCGAAGAAUCUACAAAGCAUGGACGAACCGGAUAGCUAUGAUUUGAAUGAUGCCUUACAAAAUACUGAUCAACAAGCUACGAAACCCAAGAGGCCUAAGAGGCAUGUGAACGAAAAAUCUUGAUCCGGCAUACUGCCACACUUGGUGUGGUUCCAGAGCAAACCCAAUAUCCACCAUGGAAUUAGUCUGGAUCUGAUGGUUUCAAAGCAGAACCAAACCUGGGAAAAAGGUCUAAAUCAGAAGGUUCUUUUCAUGAUUCUUGAUAAUAUCAUCAUGUAAUGGAGAAGACUCUUUCCGGUUCAGAAAAUGUUAGGCAGUGGCAGGCCAAAGGACAAGGUCAUCACUGUAUGUGAAAUUUGGGGAAUGGUGUGUGGCGGAUUUUCUGUUUGACACUAUGGUUGAGAGAUUUUAUUGCUUCGGGUGCUUUCGUUGCGAUUUGUGGGCAGAAGAAUGGACGUGCCAUUAAGGUUCUUGCAUUGUUGCGCAAGAUGGAUACGAAUGGUAUUAAGCCUAAUGAUGUUAGUGUUGUGAGUGCCUUUUUGGCUUGCGGGCAACUAGGGUGUUUGGAGAAUGGGGAAGAAAUCUACGAGAUCAUGAGAAAAUAUGGGAUUGUAUGCAAUAUAAUGUUUGCCCAUGCGUGUCUUGAUAUGCAUGUGAAAUGCGGUUGCAUUGACAUGGCUGAGACUUUGUUUAAGGGUAUGCCUCAGAGGAAUAUUAGCAUACACUGUAAACAUGGAGAGUGGAAAGGCAUUGGAUAUGUUUUCAAGGAUGCGAAAAGGAGUGAGACGAAACCAUGUCAUCUAUAUGGGAACUUUAUCUGCAUAUAGCCAUGCUGGGCUAGUAAAUGAAGGCAAGGCUUAUUUCAGUAACAUGGUCCAUUCUGGUGACAAGAAUAUUCAACCGAAAGUUGAGCACUGUGCUUGUAUGGUAGACCUGCCUCUAUAAUUUCAUAAAAAGUUUGCCCAGAUUCUGGAGGGUGGGGAGCUAUAUUGGGUGCCUGGCGAAUCCACCAAAAUAUUGUACUGGGCCAGCAUGCAGUUGAUUUGCAUUUCGAAUUAGCUGCUGAUAUUGGUUGGUAUCAUGUCUUAAUGUCAAACAUGUAAGUGGCUGCUGGAGGGUGGAACUUUGUCAAUAAGGUGAGGAUGUGAAAAAGUCAAGAAAAUAGCUGCAUACAUCUCAGUUGAAUGUAAUGGAAACUUCCAAAAGUUCUAUGGUGGAGACAGGUUGCCAGAGUCAGCAGAAAUAUAUGAGAAGUUUAAGGCCUUACUGAGACAAGUGAAAAGCUUUCCGUCGCAUUGUCGUAUAAAUCUAAGAACUGAAACCCCCGUUAGGGUGGUGAAAAUUUGAGGGUGUGAUGAGAUGACUGCCAUAGUUUUUGUAACUUUGUUUUGAAGGCUACCAAAAGCUAGAUAGUCAUGAGAGAUAAAGUCCGUUUUCAUCAUUUUAGAAAUAGAGAUUGUUCGUGCAACAACUUUUGGUGAUGACUUGGAAUUUAUUAAGGUACAGAGAUGUUAGGGACUUCAGUUUCACAGUAGUAAAAGAAGAUGGAAGGUACUUUCCCACUUACUGCAGAGAUUAAAGGUUUGAAUGUAGAUUUAGGGUUGAAGAUUCACACAAGGUUGCAACUGAUGGUGGCAUCAUGGAAGAUCUUCAGAGUGCAGUCUAUCCAAAAAGGACGAUCUUCAGAAGGAGAACGUAAUUGAACUGAAGCAGUUGGCGACACAGGCAAUCAACCUGAAAAAUUAUUCUAAAGUUUAGGAAAGAUGUUCUGGUUGAGAAAAUAGCCGAAAGCCUGGUUGUCCAUAAUUUUAGAGUUUGGUGUACAGUUUUGUUUUUCUCUAUUGUCUCUCCAUUUUGUUGGGAAUAGGUCAGAUUUGCGCUAGCUACUGUUUUGUUCACAAACUUUUACUUUCACAUUUGAGAUUCUGUAUAGCGCAUACAAGAUUUGAUGAAACAAGUUUCUGCUGAGUAAAUGGGUUAUAUUUUGUUUGUAAA